rnacentral:rRNA from 1 species
UACGAAGGGUGCAAGCGUUAAUCGGAAUUACUGGGCGUAAAGCGCGCGUAGGUGGUUCGUUAAGUUGGAUGUGAAAGCCCCGGGCUCAACCUGGGAACUGCAUCCAAAACUGGCGAGCUAAGAGUACGGUAGAGGGUGGUGGAAUUUCCCGUGUAGCGGUGAAAUGCGUAGAUAUAGGAAGGAACACCGUGGCGAAGGCGACCACCUGGACUGAUACUGACACUGAGGUGCGAAAGCGUGGGGAGCAAACAGG